GCACCCCAUAGUAUCAUAGCUACAUGUAUGACGUUUAAAAAAAAUAAAAAAUAAAUAAAGUUUGGAAAUCGGUUCAAACGAAUAAUUCUACUUAGAGAUUGAGAAAUACCUCUUUCAGUCGUAUUGUCCAUGCACCACUGCCUGGCACUGUUGGCGUGUCCCUCCACAGUCGAUGCGGCGUCUACGUUAAUGUCUAUGGGGGAGUCCUUUUCACACUGGUUCAGUUCUCCUUAUGAGGUCAAAAGUCGAGGUAUAAACUCGCCAUGGCUGACGGUGUAGGAAGCGAGUCUGGCAGAGAUUUAGAUUAUUUUACCAGAGUGAGUGUUGGAUUAUUUUGUGCAUCUCACGCGCUGGGUCAAAAUCCAUCAACCCAACAUACAUCGGUUGACUCAGCACCUGGGUUGUUUGGGCUUCGAACGUCAUGUCGACAGAGGGAGACUUUAUGCACUUUAUGCUCUCAUGUUAGCACCGGGAGAACCUGACUCAUCAUCCUCGUGGCGAGGCAAAUCAACAAUAAAAGAUCAAUGGACAGCUUUCAACACUUUGACAGAGUGGAAGCUGACAGACCUUGUAGAAAGAUUUAAAGGAAAUAUGGUACACCCUGAACAGAAGGCUGCGGUACAUCAGGAAGAGGCUAAGAUCAACCAGCAGGUUGCAGAAGAUGGCACAGACACUGCCUCAAACACUAGAUGAUGGCACUCUUACAAGGGCUCUCAUACCAGAAUGUAACAUAUCAGACAAACUUGCAUCACAGCUUAAAGAAUGGUUGGGAAAAAAUUCUCAGCCCCUCAGCCAGGUAAAGACAUACAUGCAGGACACAGCAGUCUACAGGGCCAAGUGCAUUAGGGACAAUAAUUGGACCAUUGAUCAGAUCUUAA
rnacentral:lncRNA from 1 species